rnacentral:misc_RNA from 1 species
UCCAAGGCAUUUUACAUGAUUCCAGAUUUGAGUGUGCUAAGUUGGGAUAACAAGUUACCUGCAGCCAUGCUGUUGUUAACCAGGUACAGGAUAUUCUUGAGUCCAGGAUACCCUUACGAGGACAUGUUGCAGAUGUAUCACAAUGUGACAGAUCUUACUAUGUGUUCUUAUCUUCAGCAGUUCCAUGUAUUCAACUGGACUAAAGGGGGAAUGAUCCAACUAAACCAUGGAAAGCCACAGCCUCUUCAGUUUGUCGCUAAUGCUGCUUUCUUGGCAUCACUAUUUGUUGAUUAUUUGAAUGCCACUGGUGUUCCGGGAUUCAACUGCGGUCCCACGUUUGUUUCAUUGAACGAUCUUCGGAGUUUUGCCACCUCCCAGAUAGACUACAUUCUCGGUAAAAAUCCCAUGAAUAUGAGCUACAUUGUGGGAUAUGGCACUAAGUUUCCCAGAAAUGUGCAUCACCGUGGAGCAUCAAUACCCCAUGACAACAAGAGGUACUCGUGCACAGGUGGAUGGAAGUGGCGUGACAGCCGCAAUCCCAAUCCUAAUACCAUUACAGGAGCCAUGGUUGGAGGGCCUGAUAGGUUUGACAACUUCCAUGAUGUGCGAACCAAUUUUAACUACACCGAACCAACCCUAGCUGGAAAUGCAGGGCUAGUUGCUGCACUUGUCUCCCUGACUAGCAGCGGUGGCAUUGGCAUUGAUAAGAAUGCAAUCUUCUCAGCAGUUCCACCACUCUACCCCCAAAGCCCACCCCCUCCUCCACCUUGGAAGCCUUGAACUUCUGAUCAUCCAAUUCAUCCCCAUGGAUAGAGCUUCGUUACAUACCCCUAAUCCUUGUCAGUUUUGUUCUAGAGCUAUUAAUUAUACACAUUGAAGAACAAUAGAACAUAUGAAAUGCUUCAUUCAUAUGGGACUCUCUGAAACAUACUGUUUUACAUACACACUAUUAUACACAGACUUAAUUGGUUUUCCUACAUGUUAUUAAUUCAACCUAUUGUUUUUGAAGUGCUUUCACACAGUUUUCAAGAUUUGUGAGAUGGAACCA